UGGGCGCUGGUGGGCGGGGUGCGGGUCCCCGAUUUCGGGGGCGCCCGGGACCCCAGCGCCUGCCUUGACAACUGCUGUUGCGGAAUGCAGCCGAGACUUUGCGAGCCCCUGGGGAGGGACGUGCAGAUAGUGCUGGGGCCCCGCCGGAGUCUCGGCAUCUGCAGUCUUCGGGGCUGUGGCUUCCCAGUCGCCCGGGCUCGGUCCCGAAAACUGGCAGACCUACUUUGAUCCCGGAGACUCAGUGUUUUCCGCCUUGAAAUGGAGCCACAGCUAUGCACCAUGAGCAUCCAUCCAUGGGCGGGCCCUGGUUUUCUUCCUCUCCGGGACCCUCCUGUUCAGUGUGAAAGCCCUCUGUACACUGUGGAAUGAUGUGUCUGCCCACCACCUGUCUGUUGUCUCUGAUAACCGGCGGGGAGGUGACCCGAGAGACUCUGCAGGACCUUAUUCUCAAGCAACUUUAACCCCCGUGGAGUUGGAAUGGCUUCCAGUCCCACGUGUGUUUCUGGACGCCCGGCGCACGGUGCCCUUUCCCAAAACCUCUUGUCGGUUUCUGAUCCCAUUCAGCCGUUCAGCAAGCCGUCGGCGAGCGCCGCCUGUAUUUCAGACACUGUGCCAGACUCUGGGAGGAAAUGAAAGCAGUUCCCUGACGACUGGGAGCUGGAACGUUAAAUGCGUAAUCGCACUAGACAAGCAUGAGAGUGCCAUUCAUUUCCUGCCUGAGACCCUAACUCAACGAGGGUGAAGCCCCCAGAGAACAGCCUAACACAGAGGAAAGGGGAGCUGACAGAUCACUGGGUCACUAGAGCUAACCCCUGAUGUCAUCUGGGCUUCUAAUCCAACUCACCUCCCACAUUCAAACAAUUACCUAAUAAUGCUGAUUUUAUUGCCUAAUAAAUUUUAAAUGUAUCCCUUCA